rnacentral:rRNA from 1 species
AUUGAACGCUGGCGGUAUGCUUAACACAUGCAAGUCGAACGGUAGCAGGCCUUCGGGCGCUGACGAGUGGCGGACGGGUGAGUAACGCGUAGGAAUCUGCCCUGUAGUGGGGGACAACUUAGGGAAACUUAAGCUAAUACCGCAUACGCUCCCAAUUGAAAGAUUGGGAGGAAAGCGGGGGACCGUAAGGCCUCGCGCUAUAGGAUGAGCCUGCGUUGGAUUAGCUAGUUGGUAGGGUAAAGGCCUACCAAGGCGACGAUCCAUAGCUGGUCUGAGAGGACGAUCAGCCACACUGGGACUGAGACACGGCCCAGACUCCUACGGGAGGCAGCAGUGGGGAAUAUUGGACAAUGGGCGAAAGCCUGAUCCAGCAAUACCGCGUGUGUGAAGAAGGCCUGAGGGUUGUAAAGCACUUUCAAUUGGGAGGAAAAAGGUAAGCUUAAUACGCUUACCCUUGACAUUACCUUUAGAAGAAGCACCGGCUAACUCCGUGCCAGCAGCCGCGGUAAUACGGAGGGUGCGAGCGUUAAUCGGAAUUACUGGGCGUAAAGCGUGCGUAGGCGGCCUGUUAAGUCAGAUGUGAAAGCCCUGGGCUCAACCUGGGAACGGCAUUUGAAACUGGCAAGCUAGAGUUAGGUAGAGGGAAGUGGAAUUUCAGGUGUAGCGGUGAAAUGCGUAGAUAUCUGAAGGAACACCAGUGGCGAAGGCGGCUUCCUGGACCCAAACUGACGCUGAGGUACGAAAGCGUGGGUAGCAAACAGGAUUAGAUACCCUGGUAGUCCACGCCGUAAACGAUGUCGACUAGCCGUUGGGCUCUUAUAGAGUUUAGUGGCGCAGCUAACGCAUUAAGUCGACCGCCUGGGGAGUACGGCCGCAAGGUUAAAACUCAAAUGAAUUGACGGGGGCCCGCACAAGCGGUGGAGCAUGUGGUUUAAUUCGAUGCAACGCGAAGAACCUUACCUACCCUUGACAUCCAGAGAAUCUGUUAGAGAUAGUAGAGUGCCUUCGGGAGCUCUGAGACAGGUGCUGCAUGGCUGUCGUCAGCUCGUGUCGUGAGAUGUUGGGUUAAGU